GUGCAGCAGUCGAGAAUUUUUCUCAAUGGGGGCAACCCUGAAGGAGCGACGCCGCGUGGAGGAUGAAGGCUUUCGGGUUGUAAACUCCUGUCAUUUGGGAACAAGUUGGACGCAGUAACUACGCGUCCAUUGAUAGUACCAGAAGAGGAAGGGACGGCUAACUCUGUGCCAGCAGCCGCGGUAAUACAGAGGUCCCAAGCGUUGUUCGGAUUCAUUGGGCGUAAAGGGUGCGUAGGUGGCGCCGUAAGUGGGGUGUGAAAUUUCGGAGCUUAAUUCCGAAACUGCAUUCCAUACUGCGGUGCUUGAGGACUGGAGAGGAGACUGGAAUUCAUGGUGUAGCAGUGAAAUGCGUAGAGAUCAUGAGGAAGACCAGUGGCGAAGGCGGGUCUCUGGACAGUUCCUGACACUGAGGCACGAAGGCCAGGGGAGCAAACGGGAUUAGAUACCCGUGUAGU
rnacentral:rRNA from 1 species